rnacentral:rRNA from 1 species
AUUGAACGCUGGCGGCAGGCCCAACACAUGCAAGUCGAGCGGAUGAAGGGAGCUUGCUCCUGGAUUCAGCGGCGGACGGGUGAGUAAUGCCUAGGAAUCUGCCUGGCAGUGGGGGAUAACGUCCGGAAACGGGCGCUAAUACCGCAUACGUCCUGAGGGAGAAAGUGGGGGAUCUUCGGACCUCACGCUAUCAGAUGAGCCUAGGUCGGAUUAGCUAGUUGGUGGGGUAAAGGCCUACCAAGGCGACGAUCCGUAACUGAUCUGAGAGGAUGAUCAGUCACACUGGAACUGAGACACGGUCCAGACUCCUACGGGAGGCAGCAGUAGGGAAUCUUGGACAAUGGGCGAAAGCCUGAUCCAGCCAUGCCGCGUGUGUGAAGAAGGUCUUCGGAUUGUAAAGCACUUUAAGUUGGGAGGAAGGACAGUAAGUUAAUACCUUGCUGUUUUGACGUUACCAACAGAAUAAGCACCGGCUAACUUCGUG